UACAGAGGGUGCGAGCGUUAAUCGGAAUACUGGGCGUAAAGCGCACGUAGGCGGCUUGGUAUGUCGGGUGUGAAAUCCCCGGGCUCAACCUGGGAACUGCAUCCGAAACUGCCUUGCUCGAGUAUGGGAGAGGGAAGUGGAAUUUCCGGUGUAGCGGUGAAAUGCGUAGAUAUCGGAAGGAACAUCAGUGGCGAAGGCGACUCCUGGACCAAUACUGACGCUCAGGCUG
rnacentral:rRNA from 1 species